UAGGUUGUAUAACUUCUUCCUUUGGAUUCUUUUUUUUUUUAAUCAAAUAGAUUUUCACUGAUCAGGAAUGUUCUGUGUAGUCCUGCCUAAAGUGGGAGAGAUGGACUCUUCAAGUCCUAAAAUUCUAUGAUUAAUCAAGGAGACAUAAUUAUAUACAUCUAGUCAUUCAAAUUUUAUAAACUGAUUUUAAUGGUUCUUUGCACAUAAACAUGAGAUGAGUGACAUUGUAAAAGUGUAAUUUUGGUAGAAGAUUAUAGUGUGAACUGAAAAGGAAAUGUAUAAGUAUCAUUAAGCCAUUUCGGAUCACUCUUUGGACUAAAGAUUAUCAGCUUUUAAACCAGUCAUUUUAGAAAUUCAGCCUUAAAAAUAACUGUCUACACCAGGAAUUUAUAAUACAGCACAAUGAAUGGAAAUGUUUACUUUUUUCUAAAACAAAUUCACAUUUUCUGUAGACAACAUUCAUUUAGUAAGAUCUUUAAAGGCUUUAACAGAUAACAGUCAACAGCAUAAGAAGGAAUGCAUAAUAAAUGGUAAUAAUACACAAAGACUACAACAGGCUAACACCUGGUACAAUUUCCAUCCCCAAACAACCACUAUAUAAAGAAACAUUACAGCUAAAAGCACUAGAUUAAAAGUUCUCAAGUAAACAGAAGCUUGUUAGAUUUUUCUUUGAAAAUAAUAUCUAAGAGCUCCUAGCACAAUGGCCUUGCACAUAGUAGGCACUCAAUAAACAUUUGUUGAACUGAGAAGAGUCCUUUUAAAAGUUAACUUGAAAACAGAAACCUUCAUUCAAGCGCUAAAACACAUCUAGUUACUUUGAACAUGUGCUUAACAAAAACCAGGAAACAAAAUUUGAACCAAAUACAACAUGCUUACACUAUCUAUGAUCAGUUCCUGGUGUGUUUAUGAACAUAAUUCUGAAGGACCUAAUGUUGUAAAGUAUUAAUACAUGGGAAAACUUUCAUAAAAAGCCAAAACACUACUUAAACCCAAGUAUCUGGAAUCCACAAAGUAAAAGCUAAUCUUUCUAAAUUAAAACACACUGUAUAGCAAGAGCAGAUCAUUCAAAUUUAGCAAAACUAAAAAGAAAAACAAAGUUUCUAAGUGACUUUGAAAGCAUGCUAACUAAAACACUUUCAUCAAGCCAACACAAAUUUUACAGACAGAAUUUCAUUUUUUGCUAUGUAAGAAAUGUGCUGUCCUUUGUAUUCAAAAAUAAGUGACCAACAUCAAAGUAAAUAGGUAUUUAGGUUUCUCAGGGAAUAACUCUGAAAGCUUGAAAAUCAACAGUAAAAAAAACUGUUAGAAUAACUCCAAAUUUGCCUUAAAACUUAAACUUUCCUUUAUCUAAUUUGCAAAAGGGUCUUUUAAGCGAAAUCAGAGACUUGCAUAAAUUGAGCUUGAUAUGCUCUUAUUUAUUCACAAAGGGAAAGCGAGGAGGGGAAGGCAGUGGAAUACUCAGAGCCAGCCAAUUUCUACAACUUGCAAUUAUGUUACAGCGAUUUUCAAAACUGAUAGAAUUUCUCAGGACCUCCUUAGUCAACAUAAAACCAAAGUCUAAUUUUCCAUGUUUUUCCUCAUACUCCAUUCCAUUUUAAAACAUUUUGAGAUAAAUCAGUGUUCAAGAGUCUACCCAAGUUAAAGACAAGGAAUCAGUUCCCUAUUUAAAUCUCUUAAUACAGAUUAACUCUCUUCCUGGGCUGUUCACAUUUUUCUAAACUGAUUUCUCAGUACUCUUCAGCUGCCUAAAUAACCAAGUAGCAACUCCAUGAAUUAACUGAAACAGAAUUUCUCACCAUUCCCUACCCCCACAUUACCACACUCUCAAUUGAAGACAAAAGUGUAUGACAAUUUUGCCCCGAGUACUCGCCUCAAGUCGUUCUGGUACAAUACAGCAAAUACAACAUUAACACUAUCACACAAAACAGUUAUAUCCAUACAGUAGAUAAAAACAUUUAUUAAGUACUAUGUUUUCCCAUUACUACCAAAGAAGUUAAAUGCAUAGCUUUUCAUCACUAUCCUUGGGGCACUAUAUCAUUCAUACUGUGUAAGAACGAAAUUAAAUCAAAUUUGGCCACAACUUUUCAAUAGUGCUCAUAAAACCAAAAGGAUUAAAGGAGCUGAAUGGUGGGAGAGGAUUAAAGACUCCUUGGGGGAGAAAAAAAAGGGGGGGUGGAGGCAUUAUAGCCUUUCUGGGGACAAAGGAACUCAAGUUUCAUCCUCCCCUAUUGCUCCCCUCUCACCCAAGAAUUCUGUAGACCCAUUCCCUGCCCCCACCUCCUAUCUUUAGUUCUUACCCUUGCUUCUAAAUUCUCUUUCCCCUUUCACUCACCAUGGUUCCUCUUCUGCACCAGCAGCUCCCUAUCCCAGUCCAUUUCCCUCCAAUUACCACUGAAGUUUUUGCACCUUGAGCCCUCCAGAGCUUCUGGAUCAAUUCUCCACAUAUGGCAUUUGAUCCUCACCCUUGUGCCUUUUCUCCCAGGAGACAGCUGGAACCUGGAACUCCUCAGUUUUCUGCCGUCAUCAAGAGACAGGCCCAUUUUCCUCGUCUUCGAUUCACCUGCCAUACUUGUGGAGCAGUAACCUGGAUUUAGAGUCAGAGGCCAUGGGUUUAACUCUGCAACCUCCAAACUGUGUGACCUAGGGCAAGUCAUCGAUCUCUGAGCCUCACCUUCCUCAUGGGUAAUAGGGAGCCACUAAAGUUUAUCAAAGUACAAAGGUGACAUGUUCAGACCUGCACUUCAAGGAAAUAAUUUCAGAAGCUGAAUGGAGACUGAGUUGGCUAUGGCAAUAUUCCAGGGAACCUGGACUAAACAGAUUCCCUCUUCUCUCGGACAAAAGGUGGGAGAGUACAGGUUCUGAAUGCUAUAUUCUACGUAAGAAGUUGUUGCUGAAGAAUUGGAAAUAGAGGGGAUGUCCAUCAAUUGGGGAAUGGCUGAACAAGUUGUGGUAUAUGAAUGUA